rnacentral:lncRNA from 1 species
UGGACUUCAGUGAUGCUUUGGCAAAUAUAGAGAGGGGAACGCUUUGUAUUCUUCUCAGCAUUUUAUGAAAUGGUUAUUUUUAGCACUUGGGUUCAGAACUAAUUUUCCAGGAAUUUCUUGGCUUUCAGCCUCUCUGAAAAAUAAUCAGGAAAACAUUCAGAAAGACUGAGAGAAGGCAACAGGAGGGGGGACAGUUUUGAGCAGUUGCCGAUGUCCCAUGUUGACUGUUUUUUUCACCCUCAGAAUCAGGAAGCAAAACAGACAGAAGGCAGCGAAUACAGUGCAAAACAAAGUAUGUAAAUACAAAUCAGCUAUUAAUAGUGGCAGUGACCCAGGGGCAAGCACUAGCUGGAGAAUUGAGGCUCUCAGGCUUCCAGAUGAGAUUUAAAAUCAAAAUGAAAAUUAAAAAUCUGUCCUGCAUCUCAUUGAAACGGAGGUGCAGUCUUCACCAGCUGGCCCUGCCCUGGAGUUAUUUGCAGCUAUUCACUCAACUCAUCUGUACUUCAAAAAGGUGCAGAAAGAUGAAACAAAAGCACUCCAGCAAGACUGAGAAACCCAGCUGAGCAAGAGUCUGUUGAAUAUUUGCAGUGUAUAGAUCAGCUGUGCUUGGCAAAGGGAAUCAGAUUCUGUCCUAUAUAAAUAUGGAUGAUGCAAAAGAAGAGUUAGACUUGGAAAAUACUUUUUCUCUUGGUGCCUUGUUUGCUCCCUUUCAUUGCACUAAUAUGUAUCCUUUGCAGAACGUGACUGUUGCUAGUACACUGCAAAAUGUAUAAACAAGUAUAAAUAAAAAGAAUAAAAGGCUGCUUACA